rnacentral:rRNA from 1 species
GGACUACCGGGGUAUCUAAUCCCGUUUGCUCCCCUAGCUUUCGCGCCUCAGCGUCAGUAUCGGGCCAGAUGUGCGCCUUCGCCACCGGUGUUCCUCCUGAUAUCUACGCAUUUCACCGCUACACCAGGAAUUCCCACAUCCUCUCCCGUACUCAAGCCAAGCAGUAUGGGAUGCCGGUCCCCGGGUGAGCCGGGGCAUUUCACAUCCCACUUACCUGACCGCCUACACGCCCUUUACGCCCAGUGAUUCCGAACAACGCUUGCUCCCCCCGUGUUACCGCGGCGGCUGGCAC